rnacentral:rRNA from 1 species
GACGAACGCUGGCGGCGUGCCUAAUACAUGCAAGUCGAACGAACUCUGGUAUUGAUUGGUGCUUGCAUCAUGAUUUACAUUUGAGUGAGUGGCGAACUGGUGAGUAACACGUGGGAAACCUGCCCAGAAGCGGGGGAUAACACCUGGAAACAGAUGCUAAUACCGCAUAACAACUUGGACCGCAUGGUCCGAGCUUGAAAGAUGGCUUCGGCUAUCACUUUUGGAUGGUCCCGCGGCGUAUUAGCUAGAUGGUGGGGUAACGGCUCACCAUGGCAAUGAUACGUAGCCGACCUGAGAGGGUAAUCGGCCACAUUGGGACUGAGACACGGCCCAAACUCCUACGGGAGGCAGCAGUAGGGAAUCUUCCACAAUGGACGAAAGUCUGAUGGAGCAACGCCGCGUGAGUGAAGAAGGGUUUCGGCUCGUAAAACUCUGUUGUUAAAGAAGAACAUAUCUGAGAGUAACUGUUCAGGUAUUGACGGUAUUUAACCAGAAAGCCACGGCUAACUACGUGCCAGCAGCCGCGGUAAUACGUAGGUGGCAAGCGUUGUCCGGAUUUAUUGGGCGUAAAGCGAGCGCAGGCGGUUUUUUAAGUCUGAUGUGAAAGCCUUCGGCUCAACCGAAGAAGUGCAUCGGAAACUGGGAAACUUGAGUGCAGAAGAGGACAGUGGAACUCCAUGUGUAGCGGUGAAAUGCGUAGAUAUAUGGAAGAACACCAGUGGCGAAGGCGGCUGUCUGGUCUGUAACUGACGCUGAGGCUCGAAAGUAUGGGUAGCAAACAGGAUUAGAUACCCUGGUAGUCCAUACCGUAAACGAUGAAUGCUAAGUGUUGGAGGGUUUCCGCCCUUCAGUGCUGCAGCUAACGCAUUAAGCAUUCCGCCUGGGGAGUACGGCCGCAAGGCUGAAACUCAAAGGAAUUGACGGGGGCCCGCACAAGCGGUGGAGCAUGUGGUUUAAUUCGAAGCUACGCGAAGAACCUUACCAGGUCUUGACAUACUAUGCAAAUCUAAGAGAUUAGACGUUCCCUUCGGGGACAUGGAUACAGGUGGUGCAUGGUUGUCGUCAGCUCGUGUCGUGAGAUGUUGGGUUAAGUCCCGCAACGAGCGCAACCCUUAUUAUCAGUUGCCAGCAUUAAGUUGGGCACUCUGGUGAGACUGCCGGUGACAAACCGGAGGAAGGUGGGGAUGACGUCAAAUCAUCAUGUCCCUUAUGACCUGGGCUACACACGUGCUACAAUGGAUGGUACAACGAGUUGCGAACUCGCGAGAGUAAGCUAAUCUCUUAAAGCCAUUCUCAGUUCGGAUUGUAGGCUGCAACUCGCCUACAUGAAGUCGGAAUCGCUAGUAAUCGCGGAUCAGCAUGCCGCGGUGAAUACGUUCCCGGGCCUUGUACACACCGCCCGUCACACCAUGAGAGUUUGUAACACCCAAAGUCGGUGGGGUAACCUUUUAGGAACCAGCCGCCUAAGGUGGGACAGAUGAUUAGGGUGAAGUCGUAACAAGGUAGCCGUAG